GCUCCUUCCUGCUUGCAUUACUGUGCCUGUUGCUGCCCUUCCCUCCAACUGCGUUCCUGCAGGGACUCUUCCCUAGAAUUCAGCCCCUUGGGGCCAUGUGACUUGCAAGAGAAAGGCCAAAUUUGGGAAAAAAGGAAGCUCGGGAGGAUUUUUUCAGCACAGGGUCAUCAACCUCCUUUUUAACCCUGGAUGGUCUGUGGGGAAGCCACUCUGAACAGAAGCUCAACAACUGUAAUUGCGGGGAACCGGGAUGCGGAAUCUGAUUGGGGUAGGGCCCACCAGGAAGGACGGCCCUUUUGGCACACUCUGCGCUUGGGGCGUGAGUGUAUGUUGCAUCCAGCCCACGAGCAAUCUCCAAAGCGAUCUGGAUUGCCCAACUAGUUCAUUCUUCUGAAAGACCUCCUAGUGGAUUUUUUUGUUUCUUGCUUUUCUUCCUUGCUUGUUCAACACUCCAAGUAGCUUCGAGAAACCGGAUGUAACUCGACCCUAGGCAGCGCAUCACAGUUCUCUGCUUUGGAGACAGGCGUCAACAUUCAAAGUCGCUUCCUGAAGACCUGGUCAGUGAGCAUGCAUCCGGAUCUGUUUGCUCAAAGGCUAUUAUGGUAAGGUUAGGCUACAGAGGCGCUUCUAGACGGUAAUGCGCAGGACUAGCUCCAGGUUUCUUUUUUUCGUGGUUUUUGGACAACUGAGUACCACUGGGAUCUUCCUUUGAGGUUAUUUUAAAGCCCUGGUUCCUCCCAACACGCCGCCCAAAUUGACCCUGAUGAACAAAGUAUUGAACUGCUGCUUGAAUGCAAUGCUGCUGACGUCAAUAAAGUUUCCCUUUUAGAACACC